rnacentral:rRNA from 1 species
GUGCCAGCCGCCGCGGUAAUACGUAGGGGGCUAGCGUUGUCCGGAAUCAUUGGGCGUAAAGAGCGUGUAGGCGGUCCGGUAAGUCCGUUGUGAAAGUCAGGGGCUCAACCCUUGAAUGCCGGCGGAUACUGUCGGGCUAGAGUCCGGAAGAGGCAAGUGGAAUUCCCGGUGUAGCGGUGAAAUGCGCAGAUAUCGGGAGGAACACCUAUGGCGAAGGCAGCUUGCUGGGACGGUACUGACGCUGAGACGCGAAAGCGUGGGGAGCAAACAGGAUUAGAAACCCUAGUAGUCC